rnacentral:rRNA from 1 species
UACGAAGGGGGCGAGCGUUGUUCGGAAUUACUGGGCGUAAAGGGCGCGUAGGCGGCCGCCUAAGUCAGACGUGAAAUCCCUCGGCUCAACCGGGGAACUGCGUCUGAUACUGGGUGGCUUGAAUCCGGGAGAGGGAUGCGGAAUUCCAGGUGUAGCGGUGAAAUGCGUAGAUAUCUGGAGGAACACCGGUGGCGAAGGCGGCAUCCUGGACCGGCAUUGACGCUGAGGCGCGAAAGCCAGGGGAGCAAACGGG